CAGAAACUACAAAGGAAGUUGACGGGGCCCGCACAAGCGGUGGAGUAUGUGGUUUAAUUCGAUGCAACGCGAAGAACCUUACCUGGUCUUGACAUCCCGGAGACCCUUAGGAAACUAGGGGGUGCUUCCAUCUGGAAGAAUCUGGAGACAGGUGCUGCAUGGCUGUCGUCAGCUCGUGUCGUGAGAUGUUGGGUUAAGUCCCGCAACGAGCGCAACCCUUGCCUUUAGUUGCCAGCAGUUCGGCUGGGCACUCUAAAGGGACUGCCGGUGUUAAACCGGAGGAAGGUGGGGAUGACGUCAAGUCCUCAUGGCCUUUAUGACCAGGGCUACACACGUACUACAAUGGCCGAUACAAAGGGCAGCGACACUGCGAGGUGAAGCCAAUCCCGUAAAAUCGGUCUCAGUCCGGAUUGGAGUCUGCAACUCGACUCCAUGAAGUUGGAAUCGCUAGUAAUCGUGGAUCAGCAUGCCACGGUGAAUACGUUCCCGAGCCUU
rnacentral:rRNA from 1 species